CUCGCACUGGCCGUGUAUGCAAAUCAGGGCGUGGUCUGGAGGACAGGGGGUGGAGACUUCCCCAAAGCCCUCGCCUUCGCCAGGUUUGGGCACAGCUGAAAGAAAAUCGAUGAUAAUGAUGACGACCGUCGGAUAGAAGAAAUCAUGAAGAGCUUAUAGAAGAUUUAGUUACCAAAAACAUCUGGCUUCAUCUUCAUGCCGUCAUCCUUCCUGCUUUUAUCUAAAACCACAGAAGAAGAAUUUUACAACGGAGAUGGUGGUCCAGACGUGAUUCUCUGGUUACCUUGACAACGUCCCACAUGUCGGAUGUCAAUCUUCAGCUGCUUGAGGCAGGAUGCCUCUCUCACGUGACACGGCGUUUCUGUGUCCUCAGAAUCUUCAUCGCACUCUGCACCAAACUUGCAGUUCCCACAUUUGGAUCCUUUUUUACCGCGUCCGGAACCUUCAUCAUCUACAGACACACAAGACGUCAUCGUCAACAUCCAACAAGUAUUAAAGCACUCAUUCUGAUACGUGUCUCCGUUGGAGCCGCACACAGGGAUGUACUUCUUGUGACACUGGAAAGCAAACGUCGCUGGUUUAACGCUCUCUGCUGCCACACGCUGGCUGGGAAAGGAAUGAUGCGCACAUCACAGGGUGUGGACUUACGUGGAACUGACAGACGCACUUGAUGUCAGCGCCGUUGUCGCGGCAGGUUCCGCCGAAACGACACGUGCCUGCAUCGCAGACCCGCAGAUCGCUCUUCUUGUCGGACAGGAAAUCCAUCACCACACCAAAAAAGCGAAUGAGCAUGAGAUUGCCCUCCGAGGCUUGGACUCUUCUUGGGAAGUGGUGAGUGAUAUUGCUUCCAUCGCAAACACUGUACACACAAAAAGGAUGUUUUUCUUCCGUUUUCCAAACAUUAGCUGUAAAGAUGGAGUC